rnacentral:lncRNA from 1 species
UAUAAGGCUCAGAGACAAAGGUCCUAACGUUCUAAAACAAAUAGAAAAUGAAACAAAUCAAGCAAAGUAGCAAAAUCGAAAAACUAGCCGUUGGAGCCUGUUAUGGGAUUUUGGCUCCAAGUGAGAAACUUGAUUCUUCUUGAACCUGAACGGUUUUAAUGGAUAAGAGAGCUUCCUUGGGACCUUCCUGGGUGAUUUAUAGGUUCUGGUCUCGUGCCUGAUCUGAAGAGAAAAGAUCGGUUGGACAUUAAUGUCGGUUUGAUCCAAAUAAGGUAGGUUUGAGUAAAUGAGGAUCC